UGGAUUUUCAACAGCACAGGGGGGUCAGCACCCCUAACCCCCAUGUUGUUCCAGGGUCAACUGUAUAGGGAUUUACGGAAGGCUACUAUUUUAGGUGAUCAAAGUCUUUUUGGCUCCUGGGUCCCUGGUUGAGAUUAAUAGAAAUCCAGUCUUAAGACAACUAAUACUGCCAUGCAGUAUGUAAUCCGAGUAACUGUAUUUUAGAACUCUCUGUAUCAAAAGAGAUCACAAGAUUCAAAGCCUUUUCUUUUUGUAAUUGAGAAAAGGUUAUCAAAGCAUCAAAUUUGGUGUGUGGGGGAAGCAAACCUAUCACUUGGUGUUUUUGUCUUAAUACUUUUUUUUUUACAUUGUAUAAGCUAAUACUCUAAAGUGAAAAAGCUUAUAUAAUUUAAUAUUUAUUGAAGGCUAUAAACUUUUGGAAUAAAAAAGGAUGAGUAUACCAUAGAAAACAGCAUAUAAUGUGCAUAGAUUUAUGCACUUAAGAGGCUGAGAAACCACUGAACUAGGCUAACAGAUUUCUUUCCUUGAUCUUUUCAAGGAUAUGCCUUAAUUAAGGUGAAGUACUACUUUUCCAACUACACUUCAAAAUCUUCUCCAGGGAGCCUAAACUACCAUGGAUCACCUAGUAAGAUGUGUAAAAUGGCAGCAAUAACUCAGAUUAUAAGAACAUUUGUAGAGGAUCAAUAUAUCAUUUUUUUUUUUUAAAUCUUGUGAACAGUGGUGGAUAGAAUAGCCUUUUGCUGUAAGACAAAUUUGCCUACACACGGUCAGAUCCACACCUUUGGAGAUUAACUCCAUGCUUGCUCAAGGUCUAUAAUUCAUGCCUGAAAUAAAUGUCUUAAAUCUCCUUACUUACACCUGCAAGAAGCCUAUUACGUCUCCUUCACUGGAACAUUUAUCAUGAAAUAUUUACCUUUUCUUUACCAACAUAUUGAUACCAGGGCAAGUUUUCUUUAAAAACCUACAGUGUACUAGGGAAUAGCCCUUCCCUCCCCUAACAAAAACGGUAAAUUAAGCAUUCUGGAAGUUGUAUCCUGGUUAAUUUUAUCUGCCUUUAUUCUUAACUAGAUUGCUGAAAAGACUGCAAACUUACUGAAAACCUUCCUGAAAGUGUUCAUCUCUCUUCUUUAUAUUAGUUUCUAAAACUGUGAUGCUGGACCACCUGCACCUGAAUCACCUAUGAUCUAUACAAAAAUGCAGCUUCCUGGGUCUCAUCCAAGAACUCCUUAAUCUCUGAGGACAGAGUCUAAUAACAUACCAAAAAGUCUACAGAACUACUUACUGGAUCCAUUAAAAACACUCGAGAAGCUGCAGAAAGAUUCAAAC